GCUUCCUUCCUCAAUCUUCAUGGAUUUUCAAAUUGGAACUAAGCUGCAUGAAUACCGUGGGGUUUAAUAUUAUUUUCAUACCAGGUAAAUAAGUCUUUUUUUAGUUUUCUUUUUCAUUAUAUUCAUUGCCACUUGUUCCCACUGCAGUCAACAACCUACCCGUGGGAUAUCGCGUCAUGCAGCAACCUCCAGUUCCAGCUGCAGGUCAACCUCAUCUUGAUCCAAUGGGCAUGUCCAGCUGCCACGUGGUUAAUGGUGUGCCUGCCCAGGAAACUAUCAUCCUAUGAUGAAUUCAGGAAACAAGCAGCACGGUGCACAGAUCAUUCCGUGUCCACUCAGGAUCCCGAGAAGGGUCGAACUCCUAGGUGGUACAAUGUAGAUAGUCUACCGUGAUGCAAACAUCCGCUGUUGAUUUCACGAUUCAAGUCACACAAGGACAACUUUAUCCUCCCUUGAAGAGACGACGACUCCCCUUGUUGUUUCGUGAUUAAUUGGAUAUUUUUGAAGACUUGACUUUUGCACGAAAUAUAGAGGCCGCAGAUGAGGCAAAACAGCUUAUUCUCAAGGACAAUAAAUAUGCUCGCAGCGAUAAUGAGCUCAAUUGGGGUUUUAGCUGAUUCACAUAGAAUUUCUCGGUGACAUUGGAUGAACUUGAUUUGUUGCAGAACAUAAAACAUGUCGGCCCAUGGCUUGUCGAAUUGGUGUCAAAUAUGUCAAUCAUUCACCUCUCGCCCUUUUCAUCGCCAAGAAAAGAGCUGUCUACUUUAAUACUAUAUUGUUUGUGUGAUUGUAACUAAAGGAAUAUAAUACCUUUUGUCUAUCAAUGACAAAGUCACUUUAGCUAGUCACUUUAGCUA